rnacentral:rRNA from 1 species
UACGGAGGGUGCGAGCGUUGCUCGGAAUCAUUGGGCGUAAAGCGUACGCAGGCGGUCUGUUUAGUCGGGUGUGAAAGCCCGGGGCUCAACCCCGGAAAUGCGCCCGAUACUGGCAGACUUGAGUGCGGGAGAGGGAAGCGGAAUUCCUGGUGUAGAGGUGAAAUUCGUAGAUAUCAGGAGGAACACCGGUGGCGAAAGCGGCUUCCUGGCCCGACACUGACGCUCAUGUACGAAAGCGUGGGGAGCAAACAGG